rnacentral:rRNA from 1 species
CACGUAGGGUGCGAGCGUUGUCCGGAAUUAUUGGGCGUAAAGAGCUCGUAGGCGGUGUGUCGCGUCGGCCGUGAAAACCUGCAGCUUAACUGUGGGCUUGCGGUCGAUACGGGCAUCACUGGAGUUCGGCAGGGGAGACUGGAAUUCCUGGUGUAGCGGUGAAAUGCGUAGAUAUCUGGAGGAACACCGGUGGCGAAGGCGACAUCCUGGACCGGUAUUGACGCUGAGGCGCGAAAGCCAGGGGAGCAAACGGGG